ACAUCCAGAGAACUUAGCAGAGAUGCUUGGUGCCUUCGGGAACUCUGAGACAGGUGCUGCAUGGCUGUCGUCAGCUCGUGUUGUGAAAUGUUGGGUUAAGUCCCGCAACGAGCGCAACCCUUAUCCUUUGUUGCCAGCGGUUCGGCCGGGAACUCAAAGGAGACUGCCGGUGAUAAACCGGAGGAAGGUGGGGAUGACGUCAAGUCAUCAUGGCCCUUACGGCCAGGGCUACACACGUGCUACAAUGGCGCAUACAAAGAGAAGCGACCUCGCGAGAGCAAGCGGACCUCAUAAAGUGCGUCGUAGUCCGGAUUGGAGUCUGCAACUCGACUCCAUGAAGUCGGAAUCGCUAGUAAUCGUAGAUCAGAAUGCUACGGUGAAUACGUUCCCGGGCCUUGUACACACCGCCCGUCACACCAUGGGAGUGGGUUGCAAAAGAAGUAGGUAGCUUAACCUUCGGGAGGGCGCUUACCACUUUGUGAUUCAUGACUGGGGUGAAGUCGUAACAAGGUAAGCGUAGCGAG
rnacentral:rRNA from 1 species